rnacentral:rRNA from 1 species
AGAGUAUGAUCCUGGCUCAGGAUGAACGCUGGCGGCGUGCUUAACACAUGCAAGUCGAACGAACCUUCGGGUUAGUGGCGGACGGGUGAGUAACGCGUGAGAAUCUGCCCUCAGGAGGGGGAUAACGGUUGGAAACGACCGCUAAUACCCCAUAUGCCUACUGGUGAAAUGAAUUUCGCCUGAGGAUGAGCUCGCGUCUGAUUAGCUAGUUGGUGAGGUAAUGGCUCACCAAGGCUUCGAUCAGUAGCUGGUCUGAGAGGAUGAUCAGCCACACUGGGACUGAGACACGGCCCAGACUCCUACGGGAGGCAGCAGUGGGGAAUUUUCCGCAAUGGGCGAAAGCCUGACGGAGCAACGCCGCGUGAGGGACGAAGGCCUCUGGGCUGUAAACCUCUUUUCUCAAGGAAGAAGAUAUGACGGUACUUGAGGAAUAAGCCACGGCUAAUUCCGUGCCAGCAGCCGCGGUAAUACGGGAGUGGCAAGCGUUAUCCGGAAUUAUUGGGCGUAAAGCGUCCGCAGGCGGCUUUUCAAGUCUGCUGUUAAAGCGUGGAGCUUAACUCCAUCAUGGCAGUGGAAACUGAAAGGCUUGAGUAUGGUCGG